rnacentral:rRNA from 1 species
AUGGACAAGGCAGACUGCGUCUCCAUCGCGGCGAUGUGGGUUGGGCUUGACGACAUCUCCCGUGGUGGGUCGGGGACCAGAGGUGAGGAUUGGGAGCAAGGGUGGAGGACGGCGAGGGUCCAAGUGCGGGAAAGGUUGAAGGGCAGCGAGAGGAGGACGAAGGGCGCCGGCGGAGCUCAUCCUCGCCCCUCGGAUGCCUAUGCGGGCCACCGCAGCUCGCGGCAGGUCCUGAGCAAGUGGCUUGAUGGCAGCAGCGACCAGAGGAGGAGAUGGAUGCGCGUGAAGGUCCUGAAGAUGUUGAAUAGCCCAGGGCGUGCCACCUUGGACCAUGGGGAGGCCACCACCAUGUAUCCGCCUGGGAGGCCAGGGACGGAGCCGAAGCCGAGGAAGAUCCAUGAGGAGAGGAUGGCACGCACCUCCCAGCCGGCCAGCCGGAGCGGCGACCUAGCAUGCCGCGGGAUCUCGGAUGGAGGUUGGAGGGCAGCAUCAGGAGGAGAGAUGGAGACCCAAAAGUACACAUGA